ACAGUGGACGCGAGCAUCUGUGGCCAAGUUUUUAAGGGCGCACGGUGGAUGCCUUGGCACCAGGAACCGAUGAAGGACGUGGGAGGCCACGAUAGUCCCCGGGGAGUCGUCAACCAGGCUUUGAUCCGGGGGUUUCCGAAUGGGGAAACCCGGCAGUCGUCAUGGGCUGUCACCCGCUGCUGAACACAUAGGCAGUGUGGAGGGAACGCGGGGAAGUGAAACAUCUCAGUACCCGCAGGAAGAGAAAACAACCGUGAUUCCGGGAGUAGUGGCGAGCGAAACCGGAUGAGGCCAAACCGUAUGCGUGUGAGACCCGGCAGGGGUUGCGCAUGCGGGGUUGUGGGAUCUCUCUUCUGUCGUCUGCCGGCGACAGGACGAGUCAGAAACCGUUGAUGUAGGCGAAGGACAUGCGAAAGGUCCGGCGUAGAGGGUAAGACCCCCGUAGUCGAAACGUCAGCGGCUCGUUUGAGAGACACCCAAGUAGCACGGGGCCCGAGAAAUCCCGUGUGAAUCUGGCGGGACCACCCGCUAAGCCUAAAUAUUCCCUGGUGACCGAUAGCGGAUAGUACCGUGAGGGAAUGGUGAAAAGUACCGCGGGAGCGGAGUGAAAUAGUACCUGAAACCGUGUGCCUACAAGCCGUGGGAGCGUCGGA
rnacentral:rRNA from 1 species